CUUUAGUCAAUAACCCUGUCAGUAUGUUAUAUCAUGGAAUGUGAGCUUAUUAAAACAGGAGAGAGACUAAGCAUGCCUUUUGGAUAAUAGCAAGUUUUAUGCAUUAUUUGUAUGCAGUGUAUGUGUAUUUUCUAAAAUUAAUGUAUGUGUAUGAUGCAUCUGUUAUGACUGGGUAAUGUUUCAUAUGCAUGUAUAUACUAUGUAUGGUUCUGGCAAUUCUUUUUCUACAGAUAUGACAUUAAAAGCUAGACU